rnacentral:lncRNA from 1 species
GAAAUGAUGUAACAAUUUGCAAAGAGCUCCAGCUCUAGCUGAAGGGGCUUAGGACAUAGCUGGAGAGUGCUGCGCUUGCUCCUCGGACACACAAAGCAGCUCCUAGGAAGCCCUGCCAGCCUCUCUGUUGCUGCUGGGGGCAUCAGCAUCUUGCAAAUGCUCUGGUCUAGCAGGGGAAUGAAAGGAAGCUGGGCUCACAGCAGCUACUGUUCAUGCAACAUUUGACCUGCAGAGUUCCUGCCACACCUUUCCCUUAUGAUCCUAACUCUGACUGCCAUAUAAACUUACAGGGCAUAAUGGAGUUGUCACCAUGCAUCCUGUCACAAUGAAAGCUGGCAUUGCCUGAGCAAAGAGCUUGCAACAAUAACGCUGUUUGCCUUCAGCCUCACCCCCGCCAGGAUAUUAAGACUGGAAAGACCCAGCCACGCCACACAUUCAGUCUGCAGAAGGAUCAUCUCCAUUCCCUGCUGGGACAAGGAGAUUUGAACUCAUCCUCAGGGUCCUCCAUAGCCCAGCAUUACCAAGGACUUACAGUGGAUGGAGAUGCUGUGGACUGAGAAGUGAAAACAGGCGCUUAAUAAACCUGCAGUUUGUCACUCAUCUUGAGGCUGGCAGGCAGAGCAGGACAGGUGGGGUAGUUUCCAGGUUGUACUGCAAGCAGAACCACCGAAGUGUUGGCUGUCCCUUUACUUUCCCUGCAACCAGCCAAGUUUCCCUCUCUCUCCACUGCUUCCCAAAGCUUUACUGCCUUCAGAUUCCACCAACGCCAAACUGCAGCCACUCAGCCACAGGCACCAGCAUGUGA